AUUGAACGCUGGCGGCAUGCUUUACACAUGCAAGUCGAACGGCAGCACGAAAGAGCUUGCUCUUUUGGUGGCGAGUGGCGAACGGGUGAGUAAUGCAUCGGAACGUACCGAGUAAUGGGGGAUAACUAUCCGAAAGGAUAGCUAAUACCGCAUACGCUUUGAGAAGGAAAGUGGGGGCUCUUCGGACCUCACGUUAUUCGAGCGGCCGAUGUCUGAUUAGCUAGUUGGUGGGGUAAAGGCCUACCAAGGCGACGAUCAGUAGCGGGUCUGAGAGGAUGAUCCGCCACACUGGGACUGAGACACGGCCCAGACUCCUACGGGAGGCAGCAGUGGGGAAUUUUGGACAAUGGGCGCAAGCCUGAUCCAGCCAUGCCGCGUGUCUGAAGAAGGCCUUCGGGUUGUAAAGGACUUUUGUUAGGGAAGAAAAGGAUAGUGUUAAUACCAUUAUCUGCUG
rnacentral:rRNA from 1 species